rnacentral:rRNA from 1 species
CCUACGGGGGGCAGCAGUGGGGGAUAUUGCACAAUGGCGGGAACCCUGAUGCAGCGACGCCGCGUGGGUGAAGGAGUGCUUCGGCAUGUAAAGCCCUAUCGGCAGGGAAGUAACAAGACGGUACCUGACUAAGAAGCCUCGGCUAACUACGUGCCAGCAGCCGAGGUACUACGGAGGGGGCGAGCGUUAUCCGGGUUCACUGGGUGUAAAGGGAGCGUAGACGGCCAUGCAAUCCAGGGGUGAAAGUCCGGGGCACAACCCCGGGACUGCCCUUGAAACUGCAUGGCUGGAGUGCGGGUGGGGCAGGCGGAAUGCCUGGUGUAGCGGUGAAAUGCGUAGAUAUCAGGAGGAACACCGGCGGCGAAGGCGGCCUGCUGGACCGCGACUGACGUUGAGGCUCGAAAGCGUGGGGAGCGAACAGGAUUAGAUACCCGAGUAGUC